rnacentral:lncRNA from 1 species
GUGGCAACAUGUGAAGUUUACUUCUAGUAUUUACUUAAUUUCAUUCCAAAUUCUUCGCAAUCUCCACACCAACGCGUAGGGUGUAAUGACUUGGGUUUUUUUGGGCAACACAAAAGUACAAGAUUUUAAUUUUUUUUCUACAAAAUUGUGAAUGAUGCUUGCUCAUGUAGAUUAGUAGCCUAGUUGCAUGGUGAUUUUAGGUUAAACCCCAAUACAAGCAUACACAUUUAUUUAGGCCUUU